CGCAGUAUAGCUUAAUCUAAAGCCCCCCGCUUACACCGGGGACAUACCCGUUAAACUCAGGUUACUUCGA
rnacentral:tRNA from 1 species